AUUGAACGCUAGCGGCAUGCCUUACACAUGCAAGUCGAACGGCAGCGGGGGAGCUUGCUCCCGCCGGCGAGUGGCGAACGGGUGAGUAAUACAUCGGAACGUACCCAGUAGCGGGGGAUAGCCCGGCGAAAGCCGGAUUAAUACCGCAUACGCCCUACGGGGGAAAGGGGGGGAUCGCAAGACCUCUCACUAUUGGAGCGGCCGAUGGCUGAUUAGCUAGUUGGUGGGGUAAAGGCCUACCAAGGCGACGAUCAGUAGCUGGUCUGAGAGGACGACCAGCCACACUGGGACUGAGACACGGCCCAGACUCCUACGGGAGGCAGCAGUGGGGAAUUUUGGACAAUGGGCGAAAGCCUGAUCCAGCAAUGCCGCGUGUGCGAAGAAGGCCUUCGGGUUGUAAAGCACUUUUGUCAGGGAAGAAAUCGUUUGGGUUAAUACCCCGAGCAGUUGACGGUACCUGAAGAAUAAGCACCGGCUAACUACGUGCCAGCCGCCGCAGUAA
rnacentral:rRNA from 1 species